rnacentral:rRNA from 1 species
GCAAGUCGAACGAGUUCUGAUUAUUGAAAGGUGCUUGCAUCUUGAUUUAAUUUUGAACGAGUGGCGGACGGGUGAGUAACACGUGGGUAACCUGCCCUUAAGUGGGGGAUAACAUUUGGAAACAGAUGCUAAUACCGCAUAAAUCCAAGAACCGCAUGGUUCUUGGCUGAAAGAUGGCGUAAGCUAUCGCUUUUGGAUGGACCCGCGGCGUAUUAGCUAGUUGGUGAGGUAACGGCUCACCAAGGCAAUGAUACGUAGCCGAACUGAGAGGUUGAUCGGCCACAUUGGGACUGAGACACGGCCCAAACUCCUACGGGAGGCAGCAGUAGGGAAUCUUCCACAAUGGACGCAAGUCUGAUGGAGCAACGCCGCGUGAGUGAAGAAGGCUUUCGGGUCGUAAAACUCUGUUGUUGGAGAAGAAUGGUCGGCAGAGUAACUGUUGUCGGCGUGACGGUAUCCAACCAGAAAGCCACGGCUAACUACGUGCCAGCAGCCGCGGUAAUACGUAGGUGGCAAGCGUUAUCCGGAUUUAUUGGGCGUAAAGCGAGCGCAGGCGGUUUUUUAAGUCUGAUGUGAAAGCCCUCGGCUUAACCGAGGAAGUGCAUCGGAAACUGGGAAACUUGAGUGCAGAAGAGGACAGUGGAACUCCAUGUGUAGCGGUGAAAUGCGUAGAUAUAUGGAAGAACACCAGUGGCGAAGGCGGCUGUCUGGUCUGUAACUGACGCUGAGGCUCGAAAGCAUGGGUAGCGAACAGGAUUAGAUACCCUGGUAGUCCAUGCCGUAAACGAUGAAUGCUAGGUGUUGGAGGGUUUCCGCCCUUCAGUGCCGCAGCUAACGCAUUAAGCAUUCCGCCUGGGGAGUACGACCGCAGGUUGAAACUCAAAGGAAUUGACGGGG